AAUAGAUACCCAGGUAGUCCAUGUCGUAAACGAUGUCUACUAGCCGUUGGGGCCCUUGAGGCUUUAGUGGCGCAGCUAACGCGAUAAGUAGACCGCCUGGGGAGUACGGUCGCAAGACUAAAACUCAAAUGAAUUGACGGGGGCCCGCACAAGCGGUGGAGCAUGUGGUUUAAUUCGAUGCAACGCGAAGAAUCUUACCUGGCCUUGACAUACAGAGAACUUUCCAGAGAUGGAUUGGUGCCUUCGGGAACUCUGAUACAGGUGCUGCAUGGCUGUCGUCAGCUCGUGUCGUGAGAUGUUGGGUUAAGUCCCGCAACGAGCGCAACCCUUUUCCUUAUUUGCCAGCACUUCGGGUGGGAACUUUAAGGAUACUGCCAGUGACAAACUGGAGGAAGGCGGGGUACGACGUCAAGUCAUCAUGGCCCUUACGGCCAGGGCUACACACGUGCUACAAUGGUCGGUACAAAGGGUUGCUACUGCGCGAGCAGAUGCUAAUCUCAAAAAGCCGAUCGUAGUCCGGAUCGC
rnacentral:rRNA from 1 species